AAGACUGUCUGGAGAAGAGAAUUAUCGUGCGAAACAAGCGUUGAAAACUGAAUUCAUGAAAGAUCCCAUUCACUUCUUAUGCUACUUGACAACACGAAGAAUGGAUAUAGAGGACGAUAUCAAGACAGUUCGAGAAAUAUUUGAAAAUGUAUCGCGCGAAGAAGCAGCUCUGCGUGUUUACUUGCUUGAACCAGACGAUUCUGUUGGCUGUUCAGAUGUUUUAAACGUCUUCCUACCAUUUAUGAAUGGACAAUAAAGUGGCUAUGAUUAAAUAUUGUAUUGACAUGUAAAAAAGCGAUCGUCACUUAAAAAUACAGCUAUAAAUAAACUAAAAA